UACGGAGGGUGCAAGCGUUAUCCGGAUUCACUGGGUUUAAAGGGUGUGUAGGCGGGCUGUUAAGUCAGUGGUGAAAUCUCCAGGCUCAACCUGGAAACUGCCAUUGAUACUAUCAGUCUUGAAUUUUGUUGAGGUAGGCGGAAUAUGUCAUGUAGCGGUGAAAUGCUUAGAUAUGACAUAGAACACCGAUUGCGAAGGCAGCUUACUAAACAAAUAUUGACGCUGAGGCACGAAAGCGUGGGGAUCAAACAGGAUUAGAAACCCCCGUAGUCC
rnacentral:rRNA from 1 species